GUCUACGGCCAUACCACCCUGAACACGCCCAAUCUCGUCUGAUCUCAGAAGCUAAGUAGGGUUGGGCCUGGUUAGUACUUGGAUAGGAGAUUUUACUAGUUUUUGCCUGUGCCUGACA
ensembl:rRNA 5S_rRNA 5S ribosomal RNA